CUUCCACUUCCUGCCAGUGUCUGAGAGAGGGAACAGGAAGUUGGAGCCAUGCUGGAUCUUAAGAAUCAUGAAGGUCGACAGUGCAGCUGGUCCAGACUCGUGCACCAGGGUCCUGCAGCUCCAGUCUUCUUGACCGGUGUGGUGAUCCAGGACCAGUGACUGCUUCAUGUCCACAGAGUGGCCUGAAGAUGGAACACCUGUCCUGGAGACAAACGCAGCAUGUGAAUGAAAGGGCUUCACUGGCUGUCUCCUGAAGGUUUUCUCUGGCUGUCUCCUGGAGGUCCUGUUUGCUGAGGCCCUGAUUGCAUCAGUACUGUUAAAGAUUGUCCCUCAGUGGAGCUUCAGCCUCUGGUCAGGUUCUGCUGCGAGCCUGCACCUGCUCAGGACUGGGAAUGGACAUUUACGCCUGGUUUGACCUGAUCUACGUUCUGAGGGCUUUUGCUGGAAAUACCAGUGGUGUUGUAUUGGUGCAGAGACCCUGACAGGAAUGCAGUAUGUCAUGCCUCGGUGCUGGUCACAUGUCUGGCAUCAGUGUGUUCUGCAGAUGAAUGCCUGAAGAUGCAGUGAUCAGAUGUUUGUGAGCUGUUUUUUAAAUAAAAAUUUUGAUGAGUCAAUGCCACUUUCAAAACUGAAUUUGAGCUGGUAUAUUUACAAAAAUUAAAUUUGUAACAAAUGGGAAAACACUUUCCCUGCCAUAGCUUAACAGCAAAAAAAAGAUGAGGUGACACUGGCCCUGUGGAGGCCCAGUGUUGAGCUGUCAGUCCUGUUCCAGCCUUCUCAGAAUGGUACCGUUAACAGGCUUGAAGUGCAGUCUAGCCUGGUUGAGGUUGGCACAAAUCUGCAGACAACUGAGAUUUCAGGGUGGUUCUGAUUGUACACAUCUAAAUGCCUGGCUAAUUACUCAUCCAAGAAUAUUUAUAAAUAUUUGGCCCACCACGCCCUCUCUGGAGGGGUUUGUGACCCUUUUUCUAUGACUGGAGCAGGUAUAGUCACUGAAAACCAGUACCCAUAUCCCAUUAUCAAGAGUUUGACACACUUCAGUGGUUUUCCCUUUGUUUCCACUAGUCUUAACCAGUUGUUUUUUUUUUUCCCAUUGGCUAUAAUUUACCAUGUGUACCAGUUUUGUAGUACUAAUAACCAUUUAAAUAUUAGCAUAU